UCCCCUUCUUCUUCCCCACGCACGAGGGCGCCGCCGCCGCCGCCGCCACCUUCCUUGCAGAGUCUGCGACCAAAGGAGGAGGACCUUGAGGCCUUCUACCGCCGCUUCCUCAGGUCUAGGAUCCUCGCUCCCGCAUAUUCCCCACCCCCCGUCCUCUUCCGUCGCGGUGAAGACGACGAUGACAGUUAGCCGGCCGGCCAUGCUCGGUCUCAGAGCCACCAGGGUCGCGCGCCUCCCGUGCCCCUACCCCUCUCCGUGCUCCGCCGCCCAGGCGGCCUCCCUCUCGGGGCCCGCGCGUCGCGCCCCGCCCCUCGUCGUCGCCAGCCCCGCGCCGCGCCUCGCCCCUCGCCGUCUCGCUCCUCGCGUCCGCGCGGCCCGUUUCUGCCGCGUGGGGCUCGACCAUGCGCCCCUCCGGUGAACUCCCCAGGCCGGGCACCAGGGGUGAGUGUUAGGGCAGGCGCUGUCGCUC
rnacentral:lncRNA from 1 species